AACCCGGAUUAAGAUAAUUUUGGGUUUGAGGCCAAACAAUUUUAUGGGUCCAUAGGCAUAUUUAAAAUAUUGGUACUUAUACGGUACUACCAGCCAACGUCAAGGGCCCGCGAUAUCUAGUGGCCUUAGGCCAUGAUCCCCUCCUUAGUCCGGGCCUGCUCCAAUCAAACUUUAUAUAGCACUUCGGAUCGUAUUGGUAUGAUCUAGUGAAAUUAAUUCUAUAAAAACAAAUUUG